rnacentral:rRNA from 1 species
GUCCACGCCGUAAACGAUGGGUGCUAGGUGUCGCGGGCUUUGACCCCUGCGGUGCCGCAGCUAACGCAUUAAGCACCCCGCCUGGGGAGUACGGCCGCAAAGGCUAAAAACUCAAAGGAAUUGACGGGGGCCCCGCACAAGCGGUGGAGCAUGUGGUUUUAAUUCGACGCAACGCGCAGAACCUUACCUGGGCUAGAAAAUGCGAGAACCUGGUUGAAAGGUCGGGGUGCUCUUCGGAGAACUCGUAGUUAGGUGCUGCAUGGCUGUCGU